rnacentral:lncRNA from 1 species
ACAGUGAAAGAUUUCGCCAACAUAUUCAGAAUAGCAUGCAAUUUAAAACUUGUUUUGAAGUUGGAAGAAGUGGCAAAAUGUGAAAAGCAAGAAGCAAGUAUUACCAGAGACACCUAUGAAAAAGAAAUCUUUCUGAAGAACAUUUUUAAAGUGCCAUAAUCUGUUCGGACUGCCCAUACUUCUGAAAGCAGUACUUUCAUUUUCAACUCAGAGGUUGAGCCUGGUUUCUCAACUCAAGCUGCAUAUUAGAAUCAGCUGGGAAGCUUUUAAGAAAUCCCAACAGCCAGGCCACAAACCAGACCAACUAAUGCAGAACCUCUGAGGGUAGAACACAGGUCAUGGCCCAUAGUGUUGGUGAGGCCAACACUAUAGCUGCAAGCACUUACUUCAUUUAAGAAGUUUAUCGAGAGCUUUAUAAAUAAAUUCUGUUCUCCAUCUACUGAAUCCAAAGGCUGAAAGAGACUGAGUAACAGCUAUUAAGUAAGGGGGAAUUUACAUGUGGGUUACAGGGGAGACUAGAUUUUUACAUCAAAAUUAAUUUUGUUUUAUUUGCUCCUAAUUUAUAGGUGAAAAUGUUAUUUUACAUGGAAACCUAUUUUGUUCCAUAAAACUAAAUAAACCAUAACCCAGAAGUGCAAUGAGACACACACAGCAUGACCACAUUAUUUCUGAAAGCUGAAGAGUUGCCAGUCUGUUGAUCUCAAACUUCAUGAACCACACAGUUCAGUUCAAAUUGUUUCCCUGAAAUUGCUUUGAGCCUCUGCCAAACAGCCACUGAAGGACUCCGAAAAAUACAAGGACUGAAAGGGGCACAUGGCAGAUACAAUCAUAAACUUUCAUUUCGGAGAGCAGUAAAAAAGGAGAAGAAGAACACACUGGUACUCCAACAAGUCAUAGUUUCUGCCAGAUGUUGCAAAAGUGAGUUAGAUAACUGACCUUUCUUCUGGGGCCUGUGUCAACUUUGAAUGGAGCUUUCAAUUGUACAAUAAGCAUCUGGACAGUUUUGACAUCUUUAUAACACUCUUUGAGUUCUUAAAAAGCUACCAUUUUGUUUAAAGAUGAUUUAUGUGAAGAUUAAAACAAUUACUUAAGUGCUAAGAAUAAUUAAUCCUGUAACUCCAUAUCAAUACCAUUAUCUUCCCAGAACUGGGUCUCUAACUACUAAUCAUAAUCAAGACACCAACUGUCAAAUCAAAUCAAAAUUAAAAUUUGAUUAAUUAUUUGAUGAUAUUAACAUUCAAAUCUAGUUCCUUCUUAGGCCUAAUUUUGUCCUUAUGUUUGCUUUGCACUGAAUUAUUGUGGUUUAAAUAGCCCAUUUUACAUGACAACUUUCAAACAAGAGCAUAAAUUCUCAUAAAAACAGGCUAAGGAAUUCAUAAUGAUAGCUCUUGGCCGCCACCUAAAGGUUUAUUUCUUGUUUUAUUUUACAUGAGACCUACUAUGCAUUCCUUUUAUAAUAAAAUUGUUGUCUUGUCAU